CCUACGGGUGGCAGCAGUGGGGAAUAUUGCGCAAUGGGCGAAAGCCUGACGCAGCGACGCCGCGUGAGGGAUGAAGGUCUUCGGAUCGUAAACCUCUGUCAGCAGGGAAGAACGGUCACUGUGCUAAUCAGCAGUGAAUUGACGGUACCUGCAAAGGAAGCACCGGCUAACUCCGUGCCAGCAGCCGCGGUAAUACGGGGGGUGCAAGCGUUAUCCGGAUUUACGGGGCGUAAAACGAGCGCAGGCGGGUUAACAAGUUUGGUAUGAAAGGCUUUUGCUUAACGAAAGUUUGUAUCAAAAACUGUUAAUCUAGAGUGUAGUAGAGAGUUCUGGAAUUCCAUGUGGAGCGGUGGAAUGCGUAGAUAUAUGGAAGAACACCAGUGGCGAAGGCGAGAACUUAGGCUAUCACUGACGCUUAGGCUCGAAAGUGUGGGGAGCAAAUAGGAUUCGAUACCCCUGUAGUC
rnacentral:rRNA from 1 species